GACGAACGCUGGCGGCGUGCUUAACACAUGCAAGUCGAACGGAAAGGCCCUGCUUUUGUGGGGUGCUCGAGUGGCGAACGGGUGAGUAACACGUGAGUAACCUGCCCUUGACUUUGGGAUAACUUCAGGAAACUGGGGCUAAUGCCGGAUAGGAGCUCCUGCUGCAUGGUGGGGGUUGGAAAGUUUCGGCGGUUGGGGAUGGACUCGCGGCUUAUCAGCUUGUUGGUGGGGUAGUGGCUUACCAAGGCUUUGACGGGUAGCCGGCCUGAGAGGGUAACCGGCCACAUUGGGACUGAGAUACGGCCCAGACUCCUACGGGAGGCAGCAGUGGGGAAUAUUGCACAAUGGGCGGAAGCCUGAUGCAGCAACGCCGCGUGCGGGAUGACGGCCUUCGGGUUGUAAACCGCUUUCGCCUGUGACGAAGCGUGAGUGACGGUAAUGGGUAAAGAAGCGCCGGCUAACUACGUG
rnacentral:rRNA from 1 species